CCUACGGGUGGCAGCAGUGGGGAAUAUUGGACAAUGGGGGGAACCCUGAUCCGCCAUGCCGCGUGUGUGAAGAAGGCCCUCGGGUUGUAAAGCACUUUCAGUGAGGAAGAACGCCUGGUGGUUAAUACCCAUCAGGAAAGACAUCACUCACAGAAGAAGCACCGGCUAACUCCGUGCCAGCAGCCGCGGUAAUACGGAGGGUGCGAGCGUUAAUCGGAAUUACUGGGCGUAAAGCGCGCGUAGGUGGCUUGAUAAGCCGGUUGUGAAAGCCCCGGGCUCAACCUGGGAACGGCAUCCGGAACUGUCAAGCUAGAGUGCAGGAGAGGAAGGUAGAAUUCCCGGUGUAGCGGUGAAAUGCGUAGAGAUCGGGAGGAAUACCAGUGGCGAAGGCGGCCUUCUGGACUGACACUGACACUGAGGUGCGAAAGCGUGGGUAGCAAACAGGAUUAGAUACCCUGGUAGUC
rnacentral:rRNA from 1 species